UGUUGAUCUUGAGUAUGGUCAAGGCAGGCGGAAUGUGUAAUGUAGCGGUGAAAUGCUUAGAUAUUACACAGAACACCGAUUGCGAAGGCAGCUUGCUGGGCCAUUACUGACGCUGAUGCACGAAAGCGUGAGAGUCGAACAGGAUUAGAUACCCUGGUAGUCCACGCAGUAAACGAUGAUCACUCGCUGUUGGCGAUACACAGUCAGCGGCUAAGCAAAAGCAUUAAGUGAUCCACCUGGGGAGUACGGCCGCAAGGCUGAAACUCAAAGGAAUUGACGGGGGCCCGCACAAGCGGAGGAACAUGUGGUUUAAUUCGAUGAUACGCGAGGAACCUUACCUGGGCUUAAAUGUAGAGUGCAUGAGGUAGAAAUACUUCUUUCCUUCGGGACUCUUUGCAAGGUGCUGCAUGGUUGUCGUCAGCUCGUGCCGUGAGGUGUCGGGUUAAGUCCCAUAACGAGCGCAACCCUUAUCGUUAGUUGCCAGCGGGUAAUGCCGGGAACUCUAGCGAAACUGCCGGUGUAAACCGAGAGGAAGGUGGGGAUGACGUCAAAUCAGCACGGCCCUUAUGUCCAGGGCUACACACGUGUUACAAUGGCCGGUACAGAGGGCAGCUACCUGGAGACAGGAUGCGAAUCUCGAAAGCCGGUCUCAGUUCGGAUCGGAGUCUGCAACUCGACUCCGUGAAGCUGGAUUCGCUAGUAAUCGCGCAUCAGCCAUGGCGCGGUGAAUACGUUCCCGGGCCUUGUACACACCGCCCGU
rnacentral:rRNA from 1 species